UCUCAUCUGACCGUUCCCUCAUCCAUCUCCAGCUGUUUUCAUUGAACAUCAGUGGCAUAUAAAUGUUUUUCAGUUGUGAUGGAAGUGAGCACACCAGCCAUGCAGUGUGGCAAGCUGCAUCUGAAGCAUCUCUUAAAGCUCCAUCUCGGUUGUGUGUCAGAUCUCAUGCUCCUGAGCUACUUUGAGAACAGCUGUUCCUGGAUGGAUUUUAGCGCUUCUGUUCCUGACCUGAACAAAAAUGAAGAGGAUGACCAGGUUGGCAAUGGAAGUAUUGAAAUGCAGCAGCUUCUUUGUGGAGUGACUGGAGGAGAUGGAGGAGCCUGGGCAUGGCGGCCGUACUUGCCAAUCAAUACCUACAAGAUUUUUGCAAAUAAGUUAUAAAACAAAGUUAAUGUUUCAUGAAAUAUGGAUUCAGACCAACUCUGUGCCCCAAGCUGAGAUCAUACUAGGGUUUGUAGUUUCUGUAUGUCUGCUAAGCAGCAAUUACACAAUUCUCAGAGGAAAACCGAGCUUGGCCAGCAGUGUUUUCCUGGUAGUCACUAAUCUUACCAGAGAAACGGAUACUUUUUUCUAUAGUUAGCAAUCUGCCAGCCCAUUCUUUGCAUAAGUGGAAGCUUUGCUGAAUUCUCAAUGUAAAUGAUAUGGGAAAGCUAAGCAUACGAUUUUUAUUAGUAGGUAUAACAAGAAAAAGCAUAGGAAAACAAAUGAUUCAAAGAAUGUUCCAAAUGAAUCAUGUAAAUUAAGUGCAUGACCAAAAACUGUUGUUUUGCAUAUUUUCAAUAGUUAUAAUUAACUGAGAUGUCUGGGAGCAAAAACAUGAGCAAGCCAGGAGUGGCAGCUGAAUGAAUAGUGCAGAAGCAGCUGGCUAUGUGGAGACAAAUUCCUGCUGUCUGAGGGCAGCAGCUUGCUUCUGAAAGGAGCGACUGAAAUCAGUGAGCCCCACAAAGCAGUAAGCUUUAUUUCAAUGUAAAGAUGUAUUCUUAAAGAGUGAUGGCUGAGUGAACGCUUCUUACCUUCCUCCAUUUUAGCAUUAGCAAUGAGCAUUUGCCUCAGAUGUUUGAGGAGUCCAGGCCAACUGAACGUGCUAUAUGCAAGGCAGUUUUCAGGCAUCUGAGGUAUGUUACGGAGACCCAACAUCUUGAAUUCAGGAUGUGGAACUAAAGUUUCCAUUAAGUCUCCUUAAAAAAAAAAAAAAUAAAUAACAGCUGCUCAUGUUUGGCAAAAUACUGCAUAGGCUAGUUAAAAAAGAAGAAGAGCAUGAGGAUUUUACAAAGAUAGUAACUGAAGGUAAGAAAGCAGAAUAUGUAAAGUUUAAAUUUAACAAAUAUACAGAUGCAUCUGACAAAAUGCAAAGAUUUACAACCUACCACUGAGUUUUAUACAGGCAAGUUAGAAGCUCUUAUUUGACAAUUUAGACUUGCCCUCCUUUUAGUCUGGCUCAGAAUCUUAAAGACCUUAUAUGCUUCUGAAGAGGUGGAAAGGAAAAUGAGAGCUUAAUUUUACAAGCAGCAUCUUGGCAAGCCAGUUGCUUGCUGCUACCAAGUUGCAUGUUAGUGUGUUUUCUGAGCUGAACACAAAACUAGCCUUUUGUUUGUACAAACUUCUAACCUAACAUUAAAUGUUAAAACUCAGUCUAAGAUUAGUGCCCGGCAGAAAUUUCCUCUGAAAGGUAAAUGAGUACAGGAGUGGUAGUCAUUUGAAAAAGGAGGAACAUGAGUCUUCUGCUAAAGAAGGAAACGAGAAGCUGGUUAUCUAUUUUUGACUCUGCUGCAAAAUUAGGGUUGAAUUACUAACUUAGUCUUUCGCUUCCCUAUCUAUUUUUACUAUCGUAAGCCUUGGGUUAUAUCCAAGUAGUUGAGUAAAAGAGACUGAAGAACUUAAAUUCCCAAAAUGAAAUGAUUACAGAAAGAUGUGUAAGAAUGCCUUAAGUAUCUACAUUGCAGUUAGAUACCUAAAGGGUUUCUGCUAUAGUGUAAGCCAGCUUCUGCUGUGUGAGCAGGCUGGAAAACACUCCCCAGUUGAUGUGCAAUGACUUGAUUUACAUCCCUGAAGGAGAUCUGUUUAAUAUGCAUCAGCUGAGCACAGAUCUUGUGGAUGACAUCAUUUUCAUGAACAAGAAGAGCAUCUGAUGACUGAUACAGAUGUGACAGAGUCAAAACAGAGUUGUAGUUUUGAACAAUGACCUGGAAAAAGAAAAAAAAAAAAAACACCAAAUGAGAGUCAAACAACUUGAUCUCUUUCUAUAGUUUAAUAUAUUCCUCUGGCUACUGUCAUUUACUCAGUUGUAGUUAAGGAAGUGAUUCAUCUUUGUCAAAGUGCAGAAUAAGGUCAGGAGCUGUCACAGCUUUUUCAUGGAAAUGGAGCAAGACCUAUGAAAAUCAUGUUAACUCAUCUCAGUUCAGAAGGAACUGAUUACCAUGCUCAGAUACUGUCAUAACAGGAGAUUUCUAGAUAGCUAGUAGAGCUUCUCAUGAAACUGCAUUAUACCCCAGUGCUUUUGUAAGUAAAUUUUAAAUGUUUUCUUACAAGCCUGAGAUAGCCACAGUUUUUUUACAUUAAACUACCAAAUACGAAGCAAACAAAUUGUUUUGUGUCAUGUGGAACUUUCAAAGAAUGAAGUGUUUCUCUUCUAGUUUAUUUCAGUUGCAUCUACUCUGUUUUACUCAUGAAAAGCAAGCAGUUUAUUUAGAUUUCCGUUCCUCUGUGAUCACAAUUAUAAUCUUGCAAAAUAUCUCUGGGAAAAAUGACAUUCACCUCACCAGUGCCAUAGGGCCAGAUAACAUGGUUUAGUAUAAACGAUCUUGGAAAAGCAUCUCUUAAACACUGAGUCACAAAUGCUCCUAGGCCAGAACCUGUACCACCAGCCAUGCUCAUUAUUGUGAAAAAUCCACUGAGUCGGUCACACUUCUCUACUUCUUUUUGCACUAGAUUCAUGAUUACUUCUUUGUUUCUAGGCCCGUGAACAGAGUAACUGUAGAAUAAAGGGAAAAAAAACGGCAGGUGAUAUAAAGGCAGUAAGGUCAGCCUAUUCAUAAAGGGUACUUUUCUUUGUAUUACCAGUGUAACCUGGCACUGUGUCACUCAUUCUACUUGUAGUAAAUAAUCCUCAGCUGUGGCAUUUAUUUUGCAAAAGAGCUGUUUAGAAAUUGAACUUAUUGUUAACCCAUUGUUAAACAUAUUCUAAGCCAUUACAUUUUCCCUGUAAAUACCAAUUUCGUUUUGCAAAAAGCAGUGUAGAAACGUUGCUGCUGUAUGUACUGUUUCUCUACCUUAAGUCAUUAAAGAAUGUUUCUCACACAGCUGCAACAGUAUCACUCGUAGAGAGCACAGACAGCUCAUUAUCCCCUACAGUUCCGCUAGCGAAGCUGGAAAUGAUUCCUACCCAUUUGCCCAGUUGUUCCCAGACCCUUGCUUCUGACAGAAGUGCGACUGAUCAUCGUAUUUCCAAUGGCCAGACCGGGCAGCUAUCGAUAAAGUUUGGCUGAUUACUUUAGGUUCCAUGUCAACAAGCACAGCCCGGGCAACAGGUACUGUAUGGGGAAGAGAAACAAAACUAAGUGCCAACAUCACAACUUGUUUAUAUGAGAUACUGACUUGCAUCAUGACCCAAGUUGUAUUCCUUCCACCCACAUAAGCCCAACUAGAACAGAAAACAGGAUGCAGAAGUGUCCUGGAUUUCACGAGAACCACUGAUAGUACUAAAGAUAGAUCUGAAUAACAGGGACAUGGAUCUUUUGGGAAAGAAAUGUCUUAAUUUGCUUGUUAACACUAGAUUCAAAUAGUCUAGACCCUACUCCAUGGUAUUAUCUGCCUACAAUGGGAAAUGUGGAUAUUUGGAAGGGAAGACUGUUUAUGCAUACAUGUCCCAUUUCCAGCUGUACUACUGGCAGACACGAUCCAUGGCCUCAGGCAUUCUACCAGUUUUGAUUUUGCUUCUGUAGUUGUAAGCAAUGUCAGGAAGGCAUAAAGCUGGGACAGUUCUUCCAGACUGAAGGUAGAACUUGGAUGAUGUCAGUACCAGACCUUCUGUGGGACACAAAACACCAAAAUGCUGUACCUCCAGACUCUGCCUCGCUGAAAAACCGUUCUGUACAAGCAUCGUGGUAGGCUUCAUUCUCCUUCUUGGAACACAACCCGUGUGUGCCACGGACAUCGGCACAGAUGGUGUUAAACACCUCAUGACCAAUUUGGUUACCACACUGGCCAAGCUGGACUGCAACUAUUGACAUUCUAAUUCACCUCGUGUUUAGCCCUAAAAAAAA